UGUGAUACAAAUAUUUUCUUCUCUUUCUUGACCAUUGAAGGCACAGGACAGAUGGACUUUCCUGAGCCACAGUAGUUUGCAACCCUGGUGAUGACCUGAGACCUUGUUUUCCACGGGUGCUGUUACACUGCUAUUGGAAGAACACCAGGAGAGGCUCAGCUUCUUAACAGACUGUCAGCGUAAGGCUUUCUCCUGGGCAUGAGACAGUGGCCAAGAUACAUACAGAGGCACAUUGGAAAUGCAGUAGAAAAUGGCUGCAGAUUUAAAACCAGAAGUUAAGAAGAGUGAACCCGAAUGUAUAGCAAGAGAGCUUCAGGCUGGACUGGCUUCCAGCAGAAGUGGGACUGGAAACCUUGGAUUCUGUUGCCUCUUCUCUGUGACGUGGGAAAACAUGGAGAACCUUGGCAUUUACCCAGAGAAACAUCCUAAUGUGUACCGCAGCAGGGCGUGGUAAAGAACCUAGAAACAUGUCAGUCAGUAGAAGGUGUGUUGGCCCCCAGAAAGCCAAGCAUUUGUCUGAUGAAGCAUGGAGUGGAUUCUGG
rnacentral:lncRNA from 1 species